AUGGAGCCGACCUUGAAAUACCACCCUUUAAUGUUUGAUGUUCUAACGUUGACCCGUGAUCCGGGUUGCGGACAGUGUCUGGUGGGUAGUUUGACUGGGGCGGUCUCCUCCUAAAGAGUAACGGAGGAGCACGAAGGUUGGCUAAUCCUGGUCGGACAUCAGGAGGUUAGUGCAAUGGCAUAAGCCAGCUUGACUGCGAGCGUGACGGCGCGAGCAGGUGCGAAAGCAGGUCAUAGUGAUCCGGUGGUUCUGAAUGGAAGGGCCAUCGCUCAACGGAUAAAAGGUACUCCGGGGAUAACAGGCUGAUACCGCCCAAGAGUUCAUAUCGACGGCGGUGUUUGGCACCUCGAUGUCGGCUCAUCACAUCCUGGGGCUGAAGUAGGUCCCAAGGGUAUGGCUGUUCGCCAUUUAAAGUGGUACGCGAGCUGGGUUUAGAACGUCGUGAGACAGUUCGGUCCCUA
rnacentral:rRNA from 1 species